rnacentral:rRNA from 1 species
AUUGAACGCUGGCGGCAGGCCUAACACAUGCAAGUCGAGCGGAUGAAGGGAGCUUGCUCCUGGAUUCAGCAGCGGACGGGUGAGGAAUGCCUAGGAAUCUGCCUGGUAGUGGGGGAUAACGUCAGGAAACGGGCGCUAAUACCGCAUACGUCCUGAGGGGGAAAGUGGGGGAUCUUCGGACCUCACGCUAUCAGAUGAGCCUAGGUCGGAUUAGCUAGUUGGUGGGGUAAAGGCCUACCAAGGCGACGAUCCGUAACUGGUCUGAGAGGAUGAUCAGUCACACUGGAACUGAGACACGGUCCAGACUCCUACGGGAGGCAGCAGUGGGGAAUAUUGGACAAUGGGCGAAAGCCUGAUCCAGCCAUGCCGCGUGUGUGAAGAAGGUCUUCGGAUUGUAAAGCACUUUAAGUUGGGAGGAAGGGAAGUAAGUUAAUACCUUGCUGUUUUGACGUUACCAACAGAAUAAGCACCGGCUAACUUCGUG